rnacentral:rRNA from 1 species
GUGAUAGUUUCAACGGCCGCAGUACCCUGACUGUGCUAAGGUAGCGUAAUAAGUUGGCUUUUAAAUGGAGUCGAGAAUGAACGGGACCAUGGGGAUGAGCUGUUUCUAUCUUAGUAUAUUGAAUUUAAUUAAGAGGUGAAAAUCCCUCUAAGUAGAAAAAAGACGAGAAGACCCUUAGAAUCUAGGCCAUCACCAAUUAACUAAAUUGUGGAGCUUUUGUUGGGGCGACAGUGGGACAGUAUAUGAACUCCCAUUUUUAAGGUAUACAAGACGACUUUAGUAUGAAAGAUAAGAUUACCUUAGGGAUAACAGCAUAAUUUAUAAAAGUUUGUGACCUCGAUGUUGGACUAGGGACCUUACGACUAGCCGUCGGAUUGGACGAUUCUGUUCGAAUCGCACGCCCCUACGUGAUCUGAGUUCAGACCGG